rnacentral:rRNA from 1 species
GCUCGGAAGGCUGGCCGCGCCUGUUGUUUUUUGUCCGGGUCGGAGAUCUUGAACUGGACUCUCCCGGCGCAGGACGCGGUCCGACCGUGUGCACUUUCCGCGGGCAGAGCGCCACGACCGGUUCUCGGGGCGGUCAGAAGGCGGCGGGGAUGGUAGGUGGGCGCUUCGGCGCGCACUGGUAUAGCCCCGCCUGUCCCGAUCCGCCCGGGGACCGAGGAGCCGCCGCCGGUUUCAUGGGGUGGGCCUGGCCCUCCUUGGGAUGUUUUCCGACUGGCAGAGACUGGGCAACCGUGUCUGCCGACCGCUUCCCUUGGACGGACUCGGGGCUCCCCACCCUGCCGGCACAGGGUCGGUGGCGAAUCGGUCGGCCCUCCACCCGACCCGUCUUGAAACACGGACCAAGGAGUCUAACAUGCGCGCGAGUCGUUGGGUCGUACGAAACCCGAAGGCGAAGUGAAAGCGAGGGCCGGUCUCUGACCGUUUGCUCAGGUGGGAUCCCGUCGUCCCUUCUUCAUCGAGAGGGGGUGGGUGGGCGCACCACCGGCCCGUCUCGUCCGCGUCGUCGGUGAGGCGGAGCAUGAGCGUGCACGUUGGGACCCGAAAGAUGGUGAACUAUGCCUGAGCAGGACGAAGCCAGAGGAAACUCUGGUGGAGGUCCGCAGCGAUUCUGACGUGCA